GGAUGUAUUUGCUGUAUUAUUUCCUUCCACUCACGAUCUUCAGAGUUGUCUCUCACAACUCUAACAGACAUGGUUACGAUCUUUGGACACAAAGAUCAAAGACAUCUCUCCAACCUGGAGCUCUUGGAGCAGAAGGUUGACUACCUUCUGCCACAAGCAGACCUGUGGCCCAACUUUGCUCUGGAGUCUCAAGGCGAGCCAUUACAAAUAAGAUCAUCAACUAGAUUUCAAAUUUUCAGUAUUAAAAUUUUCUAACUCACAUUAUUUCUGUUUUUGUGUUUUGUGUACAGGAGCAAAUAUUUUACACAAGAUGACCUCAGAGGCUUAUGACAUCAAUAAAGAAGUUGGAAGGUUUGGGAAAUUGUUCAAGAGACCUCCUAUUGGCCCAGGCAUUGUUAUUAAGGUUUGAAUGAUGAUCAGAUCAUUAAAAAAAUAAAAGUGGUGUUUCUUGGUGAUAUAUUAUUAGGCUUUAUGAUUUACUUUUCUCUUAGUCUUGGUACCCCACUUAAAUUUUGUUCUCUGUUUUCAGGGAAAAAAUCGUCUGCAACCUGGAAAAUGCUGGGCCUUUCCAGGUUUCCAGGGACGUUUGGGCGUCUCACUUUCACACCCAGCCACCAUCAGACAUGUGUCCCUGGGUCACAUUGCUAAGACUGUGUCCCCAACGUCCUCUGUCUCUAGUGCUCCCAAAGAAUUUUCUGUAUAUGGAGCAAAGAAUUUAGAAGAUGAGGAAACUCAUUUGGGAACUUUCCAAUACGAUGAAGAUGGAGACCAAAUACAGACCUUCAAACUUCCUGCCGAUAAAGUUGGUUCCUUCCGUCAUGUGACUCUAAAGGUGAACAGCAACUGGGGUCAUCCGGACUACACCUGCCUCUAUAACUUUAGAGUGCAUGGAGAACUUGC